GGAGAGGUGCCCGAGAGGCCUAAGGGCGCUGCUUGGAAAGCAGAUGGUCGCAACAAUGCGGCACGAGCGUUCGAAUCGCUCCCUCUCCGCCA
rnacentral:tRNA from 1 species